ACUGAACCAACUCAUAUUUCUCCUGCAGUGGGACAGAAUCUGUCUCCCCACUUUCAUCAGUCAGUGCUGUCUCUCUAGGGCUGGAUGGUGCGGCUACCUUGUUCACGAAACGUGGGGGAGUCAGUGACAGGCAGGACAGCACAGUGGGGUCACGUGCUCUAGGUCGGCCGCCAGCUGCCUGUGUGAGCUGAGGAAACCCCUGCCCUCUCUGAGCCACAGUUUUCUCGUCUGGACAAUGGAGAUCAUAAGUUUUGUACUUUGCCAGGCUCUUGUGUGGAUGAAAUGAGCCCGUGUGUGCCAAGACCUCAUCAUGGGGCUGGCCCAGGACCGAUGCACAGCACGUGGACUCCCGCCUAUUUGCUGUCUGCAGAGCCCUCAGAUGCCUUCUUUUCCAGAUCAGGCCAAGGAGCGAUCCAGGAGAAAAUCAGCUAAGAGCCAGGCACCCUUUUAAGUCCGAUAAGAAACAUUUUACAACCUGCUCUCUCUGAAGUCUGCUGUCUGAGAGCUUCCUCUGCACAAUAAAACUUGAUCUCCACAAUCUUUUAUCUUAACCUCAACAUUUCCUUUCUAUUAAUCCCAGGUCUUCAGAUAAACUCAACCAAUGGUUGACGAGAAAAUGUUUAAAUUUAC
rnacentral:lncRNA from 10 species